CUGGACCAGAACUUGACCUGGGUAUAAUACUGGAGAGGUCGGUACGAGACAGCUCGGUAUUGGACAGGUCGGUACGAGACGGCUCGGUAUUGGACAGGUUGGUACGAAACAGCUUGGUACGGGACAGGGGAUUACGGGACAGGUUGGUAUGAGAUGGCUUGGUACGGGACAGAUUGGUAUGGCACAGGUCGGUACUGGACAGGUCUGUAUGGGACAGGUGCGUAUGGGACAGGUUGGUACGGGAAAGGUCUGUACGAGACAGCUUGGUACGGGACAGGUGAGUAUGGGACAGGUCGGAAUGGGACAGGUGAGUAUGGGACAGGUGAGAACAGGACAGGUGAGUGCGGGAAAGGUCGGUACGGGACAGGUGAGUACAGGACAGGUGAGUAUGGGACAGGUCGGUAAGGAACAAGUCGGUACAAGACACCUCAGUAUGGGACAGGUGCGUAUAGGACAGGUUGCUAUGGGAAACGUGAGUACAGGACAGGUGAGUAUGGGACAGGUCGGUAAGGGACAGGUGAGUACAGGACAGGUGAGUACAGGACAGGUUGCUAUGGGAAACGUUGGUACGGGACAGGUGAGUACAGGACAGGUGAGUAUGGGACAGGUCGGUAAGGGACAGGUGA